rnacentral:ncRNA from 2 species
UCCUUAUCAAGAGCGGCGGAGGGAAUAGGCCCUGCGAUGCCCGGCAACCUAUGUGCUGAUAGGCACGGAAAGGUGCUACAUCCUACAGAUAUAUUCUGAAAGAUGAGGA